rnacentral:rRNA from 1 species
UCAGAUUGAACGCUGGCGGCAUGCCUUACACAUGCAAGUCGAACGGCAGCACGGGAGCUUGCUCCUGGUGGCGAGUGGCGAACGGGUGAGUAAUACAUCGGAACGUACCCUGAAGUGGGGGAUAACGUAGCGAAAGUUACGCUAAUACCGCAUAUUCUGUGAGCAGGAAAGAGGGGGAUCGCAAGACCUCUUGCUUUAGGAGCGGCCGAUGUCGGAUUAGCUAGUUGGUGAGGUAAAGGCUCACCAAGGCGACGAUCCGUAGCGGGGUCUGAGAGGAUGAUCCGCCACACUGGGACUGAGACACGGCCCAGACUCCUACGGGAGGCAGCAGUGGGGAAUUUUGGACAAUGGGCGCAAGCCUGAUCCAGCCAUGCCGCGUGAGUGAAGAAGGCCUUCGGGUUGUAAAGCUCUUUCGGUGGGGAAGAAAUUGCACAGGAUAAUACCUUGUGUAGAUGACGGUACCCGCAUAAGAAGCACCGGCUAACUACGUG